rnacentral:rRNA from 1 species
UACGUAGGAUCCGAGCGUUGUCCGGAUUUACUGGGUGUAAAGGGUGCGCAGGCGGACUGGUAAGUCAGUGGUGAAAUCUCGUCGCUUAACGACGAAACUGCCUUUGAUACUAUCAGUCUUGAAUCCGGUAGAGAUCUGUGGAAUUCCGAGUGUAGCAGUGAAAUGUGUAGAUAUUCGGAAGAACACCAGUGGCGAAGGCAGCAGAUUGGGCCGGUAUUGACGCUCAGGCACGAAAGCAUGGGGAU